UCCAGACUCCUACGGGAGGCAGCAGUGGGGAAUAUUGCACAAUGGGGGGAACCCUGAUGCAGCGACGCCGCGUGAGUGAAGAAGUAUUUCGGUAUGUAAAGCUCUGUCAGCAGGGAAGAAGAAAGACGGUACCUGACCAAGAAGCCCCGGCUAACUACGUGCCAGCAGCCGCGGUAAUACGUAGGGGGCAAGCGUUAUCCGGAUUUACUGGGUGUAAAGGGAGCGUAGACGGCAGGGCAAGUCUGGAGUGAAAGGCAGGGGCCCAACCCCUGGACUGCUCUGGAAACUGUCCGGCUGGAGUGCAGGAGAGGUAAGUGGAAUUCCUAGUGUAGCGGUGAAAUGCGUAGAUAUUAGGAGGAACACCAGUGGCGAAGGCGGCUUACUGGACUGUAACUGACGUUGAGGCUCGAAAGCGUGGGGAGCGAACAGGAUUAGAUACCCGCGUACCA
rnacentral:rRNA from 1 species